AGGUCAUUUCAGAGGGAGCUUAGAGGACCAACACCAGGAACUCUUAUUGCUAUGACCUAAGAGUGAAGUUCUCCAUAGAAUGUAAUACACACUCGAUAGUGCUAUGUUUUCCUGAGAAGAUAGAAGA